AUUGAACGCUGGCGGCAGGCCUAACACAUGCAAGUCGAGCGGAUGAAGGGAGCUUGCUCCUGGAUUCAGCGGCGGACGGGUGAGUAAUGCCUAGGAAUCUGCCUGGUAGUAGGGGAUAACGUCCUGAAACGGGCGCUAAUACCGCAUACGUCCUGAGGGAGAAAGUGGGGGAUCUUCGGACCUCACGCUAUCAGAUGAGCCUAGGUCGGAUUAGCUAGUUGGUGGGGUAAAGGCCUACAAAGGCGACGAUCCGUAACUGGUCUGAGAGGAUGAUCAGUCACACUGGAACUGAGACACGGUCCAGACUCCUACGGGAGGCAGCAGUGGGGAAUAUUGGACGAUGGGCGAGAGCCUGAUCCAGCCAUGCCGCGUGUGUGAAGAAGGUCUUCGGAUUGUAAAGCACUUUAGGUUGGGAGGAAGGGCAGUAAGUUAAUACCUUGCUGUUUUGACGUUACCAACAGAAUAAGCACCGGCUAACUUCGUG
rnacentral:rRNA from 1 species